rnacentral:rRNA from 1 species
AUUGAACGCUGGCGGCCGGCCUAACACAUGCAAGUCGAACGAGUGGCGGACGGGUGAGUAAUGUCUGGGAAACUGCCUGAUGGCGGGGGAUAACUACUGGAAACGGUAGCUAAUACCGCAUACCAUCGGAUGUGCCCAGAUGGGAUUAGCUAGUAGGUGGGGUAAAGGCUCCCCUAGGCGACGAUCCCUAGCUGGUCUGCGCGGAUGACCAUCCACACUGUAAGUGCGACACGUUCCAGACUCCUACGGGAGGCAGAAUUGGGGAAUAGUGCACAAUGGGCGCAAGCCUGAUGCAGCCAUGCCGCGUGUAUGAAGAAGGCCUUCGGGUUGCAAAGUACUUUCAGCGGGGAGGCGUUACCCGCAGAAGAAGCACCGGAUAACUCCGUGCCAGAAGCCGCGGUAAUUC